GGACCUGACUGCUAUCGGAUUAAUACUAAGCCAUGCGAGUUUUUGUAGUAAUACAAGGCAUACGGCUCAGUAACACGUAGUCAACCUACCCUAUGGACGAGGAUAAUCUCGGGAAACUGAGCAUAAUACUCGAUAGAUCAUAAUGCCUGGAAUGGUUUAUGGUUAAAAUGAUUCGUUCGCCAUAGGAUGGGACUGCGGCCUAUCAGCUUGUUGGUGAGGUAAUGGCCCACCAAGGCGAUUACAGGUACGGGCUCUGAGAGGAGAAGCCCGGAGAUGGGUACUGAGACGAAGGACCCAGGCCCUAUGGGGCGCAGCAGGCGAGAAAACUUUGCGAAUGUGCGAAAGCACGACGAAGGUUAGUCCGAGUGAUUUUCUGCUAAAGAGAAUCUUUUGCGAAGUUCUAAAACCGACUAGUGAAUAAGGGGUGGGCGAAGUUCUGGUGUCG
rnacentral:rRNA from 1 species